rnacentral:rRNA from 1 species
UACGGAGGGUGCAAGCGUUAUCCGGAUUCACUGGGUUUAAAGGGUGCGUAGGCGGGUUGGUAAGUCAGUGGUGAAAUCUUCAAGCUUAACUUGGAAACUGCCGUUGAUACUAUCAAUCUUGAAUAUUGUGGAGGUAAGCGGAAUAUGUCAUGUAGCGGUGAAAUGCUUAGAUAUGACAUAGAACACCGAUAGCGAAGGCAGCUUGCUACACAAUUAUUGACACUGAGGCUCGAAAGCGUGGGGAUCAAACAGG